rnacentral:misc_RNA from 1 species
UCCUGGUUAACCCAGGCAGUCUCAUUAGAGUUCCCACCCUAAGUGUUGGCAACUAAUGAUAAGGGUUGCGCUCGUUGCUGGACUUAACCAAACACCUCACGGCACGAGCUGACGACAGCCAUGCAGCACCUGUGCAGCGGUCCUUGCGGAAAGCGACAUCUCUGUCGCGGUCCCCUGCAUGUCAAGUCUGGGUAAGGUUCUUCGCGUAGCAUCGAAUUAAACCACAUGCUCCACUGCUUGUGCGGGCCCCCGUCAAUUCUUUUGAGUUUCACCCUUGCGAGCGUACUCCUCAGGCGGUAUACUUAACGCGUUAGCUCCGACACAACUGGGGUUGAGACCAGCUACAUCAAGUAUACAUCGUUUACAGCAAGGACUAC